UCUUUUCCAUAAUAUGUAAUUCUGCGAGAAUACUUAUUUUUAUCUAGUUGCGGGCAAAUUUUUCAAGCUGCUUUGCUCCGUCAGUGAUUUUUUUUUUUUUUUUUUGCCGACUAAACAAUUGAUCAAAUGCGAUUUUUUUUGGAAUCUCUUCGUUCGUUUAUAACCGUCGUACACGUGGAUUUUCGUUUAGUCUUCGUAAUGUCUCAUUUUGACGAUCGAAACAUGUGCGAAUAGAACAUAUUUAUUUUCUUACAUUUUAUAUGGAAUAAAAAACUUGCACGUUAUUUAUCGUUUACGCAUUCGAGAACCUAAAUGUACUUGUGAGCUACGAUUAGAGUCGACUUUCACGUGCACAUAUACAUCGAACGUGGUUUUAGUAAAGUGCUUAAUUUUGGAGUAAAAAACAGUACCACUUGUGGCUGUUUCUAAAAAUUCUCCAUUAAUUAUGCUAGUAAUUUUAUUAGCUAAAGUCGAUCUAGAAUAUCCUCUCAUUUUGGCAUGCCUCCGUCUCGUAUCUCGAUGGAGCAUGAAUGCUUGUGGGAGGUAAAGCAAAGAGGGAAUUUGCCUUCGGAAUCCACACGAUACUGUCUGGAACCGUUUCUCUAAGUUCCCAAUAAUUCUUUAAUUCUUAAAUAUUGAAUAUAUUCUUGUAGACUCUAAGUGUACGCAGAAACUAUAUAUAGUAUUUUUAAUGAUUUUAGGACCAGAUAGGAUAAGAUAUAAAUCCAAGAACUCUAAAUGUUUUGCAUAUCUGUCUGAGAACAAUAAGGGAAAAAGAUCUCGAUUAAGGAGAAGAAUAGUUUCAAAUAGAAGAAGGGUUCACAUCAUUGGACAAAAUGCUCGUCAAGCAUUGCGUGACAUUGGUAGAACAUACUUGGACUAUCUAUCAUACAGUUCACAUAACUCUUGGGCAUUUUCCAACUUGAAAAAGGAAGUUGGAUAUCAAAAAUUCAACAUUGCUUAAAAAAUGAAAAAUAUAUCUCUACAGCAUGUGUUUGAGAAGCUUGUUGGAACAUCGCAACUACUGUUUACAAUAUUAAGAGCAGCACUAUUUUGAGAAAGAAAAUCCAUCACAGUGUCACUUAAGAUGAUUAAAAAUUCAAAUAAAAUUUAUUUUUGUGGAAUAAUCCUGUAUAAUUAUUAUAUAAAAAAAAUAUUGAAUGAGAAAAUUAAGAAGAUAUAGCAAUAUUAAUAUAUAAAAAUAUCAGCAAUGUGUAAACAGUCACAAAUACACAUGGAAUACAAAAUAAGUUGCAAAUACAAAAUUGCAUAACUUAAAUAGGUUGCAAAAGCUGUUGUUGGCGAUUUGACGAUCAAGAUAGUAGUAACAUUCCAAGGAUAAUUACAAGGAUCAGCUGAAUAGUCUUUUGCCAAGAUAAUUUUGUUAAUGUGGAGGAUGUUAUCUAGACUAGAGGAAAGACAAAAUACUUUGCAUAAAUGACGUGAUAAGCAUCAGUAUAAGAAACUUUAAAAUUUAAUACAAAGACAAUGCAAGAUAACAGAGAGUCAAUGAUUUAAAACAACUUUAAACUAUUUUGCAAUCAAUGAUAUUGUACUGUAUGAUAUUGCAUGUCAAUAUAGAUUUUGAAAAAUUUAAUAAAUUUUAUUAUCUAUAUAUACUGUGAUAUAUU